rnacentral:rRNA from 1 species
AUUGAACGCUGGCGGCAGGCCUAACACAUGCAAGUCGAACGAGUGGCGGACGGGUGAGUAAUGUCUGGGAAACUGACUGAUGGAGGGGGAUAACUACUGGAAACGGUAGCUAAUACCGCAUACCAUCGGAUGUGCCCAGAUGGGAUUAGCUAGUAGGUGGGGUAAAGGCUCACCUAGGCGACGAUCCCUAGCUGUGCUGAGAGGCAGAACAGCCACACUGGAACGGAGACACGGUCCAGACUCCUACGGGAGGCAGCAGUGGGGAAUAUUGCAAAAUGGGCGAAAGCCUGAUGCAGCCAUGCCGCGUGUAUGAAGAAGGCCUUCGGGUUGUAAAGUACUUUCAGCGGGGAGGCGUUACCCGCAGAAGAAGCACCGGCUAACUCCGUGCCAGCAGCCGCGGUAAUUC